CUAUUUCUGAAAUUCCUUUGUAGUAAAACAGCUACUUUAUACAAGCUACCUUAUACAAGAUCUCAAAGUAGCUGUUUUACUACAAAGGAAUUUCAGAAAUAGACUGGA